CUAAGGAUGGAUGACACUGGAUAUAAUACUUAAAGCUGUGCCAAUAACUUCCGAUAAAAUACUUGUUUUUCUCGAGGACGAACAAUUUUUAGUGGAUGUAUAGCCAACUUCAUUACAGAAGUUGGGCAUGCAUCCACCGGCGAACCGCUCCAUCUUCUAAAUUCUUCUGGUUAUAUACUCACUAAGCCAGCCAGCCAUAUGGGUGUACAAGAAUAUGGGUUCAUCUCCAGCAAAGGUUCUGGCCGUGUCCCUCUUUCUCCUCCUCUCUCUCCUGAUCUCCCUCGACUUCCACGCAUCUGGUGAUCCGGACGAAUGGACGAGUGGGAGGAAGCUGGGCGAAAGACAACCGAAGACGGGACCGCCGUCACCGAUCAAGAACCAAGGACGCAGCUCGUAUUGGUCUCCUGGGGGUGUCGGUGACAGGCCAGGGCCGGCGCCUGAUCAUCCUGGCUCUUCAGCUGUGACGACGCCUCCUAUCCAGACUUAGUCGAAUCUAAUAUGUGAUGCAAACUCCAGCUACUCUUUGUUUCUGUUAUUUGUAGACGUAAAUGCAUGCAUGUGUGCGAAGCGAAGUUGAGUCUGUGUGUGUCUGAUGGAAGCGGACGAGUGUAUUAGCAGUUGUUUCAUUGUAGAAGUAAUCAAAGAAGUGCUUUGUGCUA